GCUUUCCAGGGUCUGGCUUCCCAGGUUGGUGACUGCAGGAGUAGCAGCAUUUGUGUGGCACAGUGAGAGUUAACAAUGAAGAAACUUGGCUUAUUUACCCCUUUACAUAAUUUGAAAUAUCCCUUUAGCUACGUAAAAGUGGAAAAAAUGAAAGCAAGCCUGGCUCCAAGCUCUGUUACUAUUUCAGUGGAGAGGAAAGUAUGGAGAGUUUACCGCUCUACCGGUUUAGCAGAAAUACUGGAAGUCUGUCGAUCAAGUAGAGGAUACUUUCUUGUCCUGGCUUGUUUUGGAGCUGGUAGAGGGCUGAUAGUCUUAACCCUGUUUAAUUUAUGCAGCUCCAGAAAGAAAGGUUGUCAGGACCUAUAAAAUGAAGAAAAAGAAAAGCAAACGAGACUGGGGACAUGUCUAAACCUCCUCCAGUGGCAUUGUCCCCCUGCUCAUCAGGGUAUAGGACUCCACGCCACCACCAACAACAAAGAAACACGUCUGCUCUUGGCCUGCUCUGCAGGAUAACGUUCGCGGGGGCUGCAGUCGGCGCUGCCCAGGGGAGGCUGGAGGCGGUCAGCGUUUGGUGCCCUGUAACACCAUCCGAUCACGUCCACGUCUUAAAGAUAGACUUUGUUCAAAUCGCCCUGGGCCUGUGUGUUCUUUUCUUUAAAGAAUCACAAUACAGUUACUGUUUUAUAGAACAGGGAGCCCGGAAUUUAUCCUGAGGUGGAAUGUCACUGGUUUAUGUAUGUGCUUGCUCUCACUUUUCUCUGUACCCUUAUAUUCUGUUUAGAAAGGCUAGUUCUUUUUUAUUUUAUUUUAUUUUAUUUUCUGCUCCUUUUCAAGCUCUGUUUAAUCAUUGUUUAUGAUUUUGAUAGUUCUCUUCUGGCACCUCUGAGUUCUUUACAACUUAAUUAUCAUGUCUAUCACUGUAAUGAAUAAAAUGAUUACUUAUUUCUCCAAGUCUUUCAUACUAUUUACUGAUCCAAAUUGAAAAGCCAACCGUGGUGAAUGUAGGCUUGCAUUUAGCAUUAAGUUUGGAGCUAUUAUGACUAGAGAUCUUGCAGAGAGAGAGAGAGAGAGAGAGAGAGAGAGAGAAAUAAUCCCUGUCCACACUCUCUAAUGGCUGUUCACUUAUACUCUCAAAUUUUACUGCCAAUAGCCAUAGGGCUCUGCCAGGUCUAAAGAUCUAUCUCUGGAAAUAAUGGAACUGUAACUCAGCUUUUUAUUUACAAAAGAAUUUAUUAAAAGUAACAGAAUUCAUGUUAUGUAUGGAACAAAAUGUGGUUACUUAAAACAUUAACCUACAUAUGUGUGUAAAUUUGAUUCUGUGAAGUUCUGAUAUUUAUUUCCAAUUCAUGACUCCCACAUCUGCUUUAUGCCUUAUCAUCCAUGAACUGGGAUUAAAACAAACAAACAACAACCACCAAAACAAAAAACAAAACAAGCAAAAAAACAGACAACUUUCACAUAAGGGAAGAGGAUGGCUUUGUUCUUUCUCAUCCAGAUCUUCUUUGUUUAUUUAGGAUCUGUUCAUCUUCUAAAUUCUUUACUUGGUUUUUGUUCUUUGCUCAUGUCUACUGAGUUCUGUAUUUUGUUUAAGUUUCACUUAAAAUAGAUAAAUAUUUUUCUGAUAAGAAGUAUAAUGUGGUUAUAAGCAUAGACUAUUUGCAGUCAAAUGCUGGCUCUGUGAUUUUGGUAAAUUUACUUCACUUUUCCACAUUUCAGCUUCUUAAUCUAUAAAAUGGGAUAGAAAUCAUCCCUAACAUUCAGGGUUGGUGAAAGGAUUAAUUGGGCUCUUGUAUUUCUAGCACUUAGAAUUGCACAUGGCCAUAGAUACCUCUAUUUUGAUAACAGCUGUUAUUAUUCAACUAUAUUACUCUGCAAAAUAUCUGGUUUCUUCUUCUAUCCCCAGAGCCUGAAGUUAUUUGUCUCUUUCUUACGCAAGUACGACACUCUGCUUUUUUGUUCUGGCCUAAAGAAAAGCCUGCCCCAUUUAUAGCAAUGAAAGGAGAUGUGUACUUAUUUCUUUUUGUAGGGAAGAUGCAGGUUCAAAUUUUGGUUCGAGGUGAACUCCCUCUUCCUAAGGAUGAAAGACAUUGUGUUUCUUCCUAUAAAUUACUCAUAAAUGUUUUCCCAGUUGUUGUAGGCUUGCCCUGUUCCUUUGAGGAAGGUUAUGCUAAAAUAAAACAAUUUGUAUUUGUGCAAAUAUCUUUUUUAAAAUAUUCAAUUCUCUGAGAACUUUCCUUCUUUGUCUUUUAAGACACAAAUAUGAUUCUUGUAUCAGAUUUAGUGUCACAGAAAAUAUGAAGAGAAUGUUCUUUCACUUAAAUUGCUAUUUUAGAAAAACAGUUUUAAAAAUAUCAGGCUGAGAACUCAACUGUGCCGAACUUCCACAAUAGUAAUCACUCCUACCAAUCACCUCUCAGAAAUAGUAUACAUUGUGUAAUGUGCAUAAUCUAAGGAAGUGUCAUUCGUAUACUGGUAGUGUCAAGCAUCUCAAGAUUGAUGUUACCACUGACAAGACAUCUAACAACCUUUGAUUUCAUUGUGCCCACAAAACUUAAAAGAAGAGAAAUAGAUUUAUCAGAAGGAAAUCAAUUCACCAGAAAAUAUGAAUUAAUUUUUUACAAAUAAUAUAUAUUUUUA
rnacentral:lncRNA from 1 species